rnacentral:rRNA from 1 species
GAAAGCUACUGUGCGGGGAGGAGCUUGCGUACCAUUAGCUAGUUGGUAGGGUAACGGCCUACCAAGGCGAUGAUGGUUAGCGGGUCUGAGAGGAUGAUCCGCCACACUGGAACUGAAACACGGACCAGACUCCUACGGGAGGCAGCAGUGAGGAAUAUUGCGCAAUGGGGGCAACCCUGACGCAGCGACGCCGCGUGGAUGAUGAAGGCCUUCGGGUUGUAAAAUCCUGUCAGAUGGGAAGAAGUGCUAUAGUGUUAAUAUCAGUAUAGUUUGACGGUACCAUCAAAGGAAGCACCGGCUAACUCCGUGCCAGCAGCCGCGGUAAUACGGAGGGUGCAAGCGUUGUUCGGAAUUACUGGGCGUAAAGCGCGCGUAGGCGGCUAUUCAAGUCAGAUGUGAAAGCCCCGCGGCUCAACCGUGGANGUGCAUUUUGAAACUGGAUGCUUGAGUACUGGAGGGGGUA